rnacentral:rRNA from 1 species
GUAAACCCAAGGUUUCCUGUGCAAGGUUCGUCCUCACAGGGUUAGUCGGGACCUAAGUCGAGGCCGAAGGGCGUAGGCGAUGGACAGCUGGUUUAAUAUUCCAGCACCGGCUUUGGUUAAGGGCGAGAGUGACGUGGGUGCGGAGGGGAGCGAUCGACUGAUAGUGAUCGUCGCGCAAGCGGACGUUGAGGCUACGGCCAAGACGGAUUCUCUAAAGCAAACACCGAGAAAAGCUCUCGUUUGUUCCCAAGGCCGCCCGUACCGUAAACCGACACAGGUGGGUGGGUAGAGUAUACCCAGGCGCGUGAGUGAAGCCUCGUUAAGGAACUCGGCAAUCUAGCCCCGUAACUUCGGAAGAAGGGGUGCCGGUCGCAAGACCGGCCGCAGUGAAAGGGGUCAACCGACUGUUUAACAAAAACACAGCACUCUGCCAAGUCGCAAGACUACGUAUAGGGUGUGACACGUGACCAAUGCGGAAAGAUUACGGUAAGAGGUUAGCGCAAGCGAAGCUUCGAGCCCAAGUCCCCGUGAAUUCGGCCGUAACGAUAACGGUCCUAAGGUAGCGAAAUUCCUUGUCGGGUAAGUUCCGACCUGCACGAAUCGUGUAACGAGUUGACCGCUGUCUCAACGAGGAGCUCAGCGAAGUUGUAGUGGCGGUGAAGAUGCCGCCUACCCGCAGCAGGACGGAAAGACCCUAUGCACCUUUACUGUACGCUGUUACUGUUUUUUCGGUUUUAAUGCUUAGCGUAAGUGGUAGACUUUGAUUCAGCUCUUUCGGGGGCUGAUGAGUCGUCAAUGAAACACCACCCUUUGAAACUGGAAAAUCUAACCUCUCGCCAUUAUCUGGCAGAGGGACACUGGCAGCCGGUCAGUUUUACUGGGGCGGUAUCCUCCCAAAGAGUAACGGAGGAGUACGGAGGUUGGCUCAGCCUGGUUGGUAAUCAGGUGACGAGUAUAUGGAUGUAAGCCAGCCUAACUGUGAGACCUACAAGUCGAGCAGGUGCGAAAGCAGGUCCAAGUGAUCCGGUGGUUGAAUGUGGAAUCGCCAUCGCUCAACGGACAAAAGGUACGCUAGGGAUAACAGGCUGAUCGAGUCCAAGAGCUCAUAUCGACGACUCGGUUUGGCACCUCGAUGUCGGCUCAUCACAUCCUGGGGCUGGAGAAGGUCCCAAGGGUCCGGCUGUUCGCCGGUUAAAGUGGUACGCGAGCUGGGUUCAGAACGUCGCGAGACAGUUCGGUCCUUAUCCGCUGUGGGCGCAGGAAGAGUGAGGGGUUCACACCUUAGUACGAGAGGACCGGGUGUGACGAACCACUGGUGUUCCAGUUGUCCUGUCAAGUGCAGUGCUGGGUAGCUAUGUUCGGAAAGGAUAAGCGCUGAAAGCAUCUAAGCGCCAAGCCUCUCCCAAGAUGACUCUUCCCCGAAGGAUCGUGGCAGACCACCACGUUGAUAGGAUUCCGGUGUAAGCACAGUAAUGUGUUCAGCUGAGAAUUACUAAUAAUCCGUUCGGCUUGGUCU